rnacentral:piRNA from 1 species
CGUGACUUCAUAGAGCCUGGCGAAGGCAGC